AUGAGUCCGGUGAUAAGGAAUAGUAAUUAGGAGUUUAAAUAUUGUAGAGAGGAAAGGUCUUGGCUGGAAGCCUUCCAUAUUUACCUAAUGAAUGAACACCUUUGAGGAGCUUUUCUGAAAACUUUCGUUAGUAGGAAAAGACGCUGACAGGCGUUAUUUGUUUAAAGUGGAAGUAUCGAAAAGGAUGCUUCAAUUAGGGUGGCACCACGGGUAAAUCUCGUCCCUGAU
rnacentral:ncRNA from 1 species